UACGAAGGGGGCUAGCGUUGCUCGGAAUUACUGGGCGUAAAGCGCACGUAGGCGGCUUCUUAAGUCGGAGGUGAAAUCCUGGAGCUCAACUCCAGAACUGCCUUCGAUACUGGGAAGCUCGAGUCCGGGAGAGGUGAGUGGAACUGCGAGUGUAGAGGUGAAAUUCGUAGAUAUUCGCAAGAACACCAGUGGCGAAGGCGGCUCACUGGCCCGGUACUGACGCUGAGGUGCGAAAGCGUGGGGAGCAAACAGGG
rnacentral:rRNA from 1 species